CUGAAUGGCCAUACCACCCUGAACGCUCUAAUCUUGUCUGAUUUCAGAAGCAAAGCAGGGUCGGGCCUGGUUAGUACUUGGAUAGGAGAUUUAUGCUAUUUUCA
rnacentral:rRNA from 1 species